CUAGGGGAGGGAUAGCAAUAAGAGAAAUACCUAAUGUAGAUGAUGGGUUGAUGGGUACAGCAAACCACCACGGCACAUGUAUACCUAUGUAACAAACCUGCAUGUUCUUGCACGUGUACACCAGAACUUAAAGUAUAAUAAAAAAUAAUAAUAAUUUUAGCAAAUUGGGAUAGAAGCCCAAAUGAGGAAACUAUUUGUAGGAAUAUAGAAGGUCACAAAAAUAAUUUUGCAAAGUGAUAUCUGUCUGGAUGGGGGAACCUAGAAGUCAAAGCAAGUUUUAGAUGGGAAGACUGUGGUCAGAAUGAGUAGUACAGAAAAAGAGAGAUUUAAAGAGUUGAUAGCUACAGUUGCACGUAAUUCAUUUUUCUUCAAGCUAAGGGAAAGUAGAAUGCUUUGACAAUGGAAAUAAGAGAUAAGUUAAUUCUAGUGGUUACCAACAUGGACUUGAGGAUCACAUGACCUCAAUAUCUUCAUCUAUCAUAGAGGAAUUAUAACAAUGUUAAGCUAAUAAAGAUAUUUUGAGGAUUAAAUGAGUUAAUUCAUGUAUAAGACAUGGGGCAUAGCAAACAUUUGAUAAAUGCCACGCAUCAUCAUCAGGACAUAGCAAACAUUCAAUAAUACUAGUGAUAUGGUCAAUGUCACCGUUAAUAUGAAACUGAAAUUUUCUGACACUAACUCUAUACUACUCUUUAACUUUGCUUCUUUAUUUCUAAAACAAAUCAUUUCCGCUCAUUUCUCAGGUGCUUAAAUGAAUAGGAAAAUACUAUUUCUUCCUUCAGAGAGAUAGAAAAGGAAAUUUAUGAUUAAGAGACAAGAACCAGAAGCACUAAUAUGUAGUUUCCUUGAGGAAACUUACAGAGAUGCAAAGAAGAGGAUCUAUAAUUUACUUUCAAAGGAAAUUGGAUGGAAGCGAUAUUUGCCAGGCAAAAACCGUCAUGGUGCUGGGGAUGAUGUCUGUUUUCCUGAUCAAAAAAUAUUUGAAGUUUGGCAAAGUACUAAAACAAAUGGAGUUGUAUUUAAAAUAAUCCUUUAGGAAAUACACUGGCUGUCCAGUUAGAAGUCUCAUAUUCGCAGAAGUCUCUUUGGACAUAAAAUAUAAUGUCGUAAAGAAACUGUAGCUGAUGGGAGGGUAAGACCAUGCCUUCUAUGUCUUCAACAAGGAUCGGUUCCUAGUGUCAAGAAUCAGAGGUAUAUAUAGCUUAUUGUGUCCUGAUUUAAGCCAAUUAUAUGAGUUUUGUGAGUUUUUUUUAUUUUUUAAACUGGGAGAUUACUGACAUGUCAGAACACAGAAGUUUACAAAAAUCUUCUAGUCUUUAUUGUCUUAAAUCUGUAUUCAUUUAGUUCUCAU
rnacentral:lncRNA from 1 species